rnacentral:piRNA from 1 species
CCAAGAAGGUGACAGAGAACUCC